GUCUCUUUGGUGCAAUCGGUUAGCGCGUUCGGCUGUUAACUGAAAGGUUGGUGGUUCAAGCCCACCCAGGUACG
rfam:Danio rerio unplaced genomic contig NA980, GRCz11 reference primary assembly.